CACAUACUGAAAAUGGGCGGAGAGCACGGAGCCGGUCUGCGGACCGCCUGAGCAUUCACUAUCCAAAUGCGCUGUCUAAGGAUACUCACGAGUGCUCGUGGCCCGGCAUGAAAAUUCAUUUGAUGCAGAUAGCGAACGUAUGUCUGCACAAACUGCGAGCG